AUUGAACGCUGGCGGCAUGCCUUACACAUGCAAGUCGAACGGCAGCACGGGAGCAAUCCUGGUGGCGAGUGGCGAACGGGUGAGUAAUAUAUCGGAACGUGCCCGGUCGUGGGGGAUAACGUAGCGAAAGCUACGCUAAUACCGCAUACGAUCUACGGAUGAAAGCGGGGGGAUCGCAAGACCUCGCGCGAUUGGAGCGGCCGAUAUCAGAUUAGGUAGUUGGUGAGGUAAAGGCUCACCAAGCCGACGAUCUGUAGCUGGUCUGAGAGGACGACCAGCCACACUGGGACUGAGACACGGCCCAGACUCCUACGGGAGGCAGCAGUGGGGAAUUUUGGACAAUGGGCGCAAGCCUGAUCCAGCAAUGCCGCGUGCAGGAUGAA
rnacentral:rRNA from 1 species